GACGAACGCUGGCGGCGUGCUUAACACAUGCAAGUCGAACGAUGAACCCGGAGCUUGCUCCGGCGGAUUAGUGGCGAACGGGUGAGUAACACGUGAGUAACCUGCCCUUGACUCUGGGAUAACUGCUAGAAAUGGUAGCUAAUACCGGAUACGACCCUCGGUGGCAUCACCAGGGGGUGGAAAGAAUUUUGGUGAAAGAUGGACUCGCGGCCUGUCAGCUAGUUGGUGAGGUAACGGCUCACCAAGGCGACGACGGGUAACCGGCCUGAAAGGAUAGCCGGCCACACGGGAACUGAUACACGGCACAGACUCCUACGGGAGGCAGCGGUGGAGAAUAUUGCACAAUGGGCGCAAGCCUGAUUCAGCAACGCCGCGUGAGGGAUGACGGCCUUCGGGUUGUAAACCUCUUUUAGUAGGGAAGAAGCGAAAGUGACGGUACCUGCAGAAAAAGCACCGGCUAACUACGUGCCAGCAGCCGCGGUAA
rnacentral:rRNA from 1 species